GAGGAGAAGAGUAUAGCAGAAGAGGAGGAGGAGGAGGAGGAGGAGAGGUGAGGGGUUGCAGCUGAGUUGCAUGGGAUGCUGCUGCUGCUGCUGAUGCUGCUGCUGCUGCUGCUGCAUCGGCUCCAUCAUCGCUCCAUCCCUCCCUCGGAGAGAAUGGAAAAAACAAGGAGUGGUUAUGUGAUUCCCCCACAAGCGGGAGGAGAAGCGCACAGAGAGAGAAAGGACUCUAGCAGGGGAUGGGGGGGCGUUUCCCUGCCACACUAUAGCCUAUAUCUCACACUUCAGCAUGGAUACAAUACAUCUGGCAUAUGGAGCAUCUUCUUCUUCAAGGGGUGAGCUGACAUAAAGAUGGACACAGAGCGGUGCUGCUGUCCUUAAAACACAGACCUUCCUUCCUUCCACGCUGCAAUCUCAUUCAGAGUGCAGGGAUGAACACAGAAGAGGAGGUCCAGAGCUGAGAGGAGAGAGGAAAGGAAAUGAAAAAAGGAAAGGAAAGGAGGGAGGAGGCGGGCCUCUUUGCUCCGGUCUCGACCACGGGUAUUCUUGGGUUGAUAAUACAGAUGUGGAUGUUAUUGCUUGAGAAUACGCGUAGUCGAGUGGAAGCUUUAUCAUCUGCAGUUGGACCCUAAAGCAGGAUUCUAUUCAGUAGAGUACAAAGGCAGACAUAUUAUAAAUGUAUAGCCAAGCUGAGCAGGUGACACAGACAUUUUUUAAUUAAGCACCCAGAGGUGACUUUUUUUUAUGUGAAAAAGGCUUAUUUUGUUCAAUCAGAAAGGUUUUUUAAAUCAAUCAGGGGCUAGCCAAAUCAAAUCCAGCCACUGAAAAGGUUUUUUAUCACCGUGGGUUUAUCAACCAUGUCACUCUUUACACCUGUGGAGGAAAUGAGUUUGUUUCGCUGGCCAGGUUCAGCCUCUCCCUCCCGCAGAGGUGCUGCUGCUUGGACCGUGCCACUAAGCUAAACCCCCCGGGCAUUAGUUCAGGGAGCUUAACACCAAAGUCUCCAGACUCAGACGUUAAUUCCAAACCCUCUUGAUUACAUACCCUUGUCAGUCAGUCGUGCUUACAAGUGAGCCUAUAAUCUUAUCAGUUGAUGAGUGUCUUUCACAGCCCUUCACACUCUGCGCCAAACAUUUUCCUCAAUACUGAGCAGAAAUUUGCAAAAAUUGGCUCCUCGGACGUAAGCGGCUGCCACGGGAUGGUACAUUGUAGCUAUGCAUAUAACCCAUCAUCCCACUGCACUACCAACUACUCUUCUUGCACUCCUAUUUUUGACUCAUGCUAAAAAUGUGCGAGAGUUUGAUGCCUGUAGCAGCAACAGGAGACAGUAACACAUGAGGACAUGUCAAGACUCGCACCCGUGGCUGACAUUUCAGCGUUCGGCUCAGCUGACUGGCUGUCAUGAUGGAGACUCACGCCCACACACACACACAUACAUGUAUAUAAACUGCAAUUCACAUGAUCUACAAGCCAGUAGGGAGAUAUGGGAUUGAUGGAUCCUAUGAAAACAAGCAUAGAGACAAAUCCCCCCCAUAUGAAUGAAUGCACACACACUGCAGCGAGGUUCACUGAGUCCAUGCGUACCAGUGGGGAAAUAAGGGGUUGAUUGAUUUUAUGGGUAACUAUUUUUAGUCAGAAUGAUGGAUGUUUAUGUCUUUUAUUGAUCAAGUUGAGGUCUGAAGAGUUCUUGGACGUCAGGGCGUGCUGAUUAAUCAGGUAGCAAAGGUGUUGGAAUAAAACAUCCUGAAUUACAUUUUUGGUGCAUUAGCAUUAUUGCUAAGUGUUAUAAAUUAGAAAAUCAACAUUUCAUUGCAAAUUCAGCAAUAUAUUAGCAUCCGUUUGCAAAUGUGCCCAUGAUAAAUUACACUCUUAUCAUGUACUCUACUAUUCCAUGAUUUCUUACUAUACUGCGUAAGCAAAUCUCUUAUUUAUUAGCACAGUAUGUGAUUAUAAUUUAUACGAAUUUCACACUGACGUUGUGUAAACUUGUUGAUUUGGCAAAGCCCUUUCUGUGGUUUUGUGUGUACUCGUGUAUGCAUGUGUGUGUGUGUGUGCUUCUAAGCAACAAAAUGACUAUUGUGAGCACAGCUCCAGGUGCCUAGCAACCGAAUCGCUCUGUUUCCCUGGCAACAGUUGCCUCGCACUCACUGUGUGGGUGAUUGGCAGCCUUGACAACGGAGACGGAGUGACACUUGACCUCGCGUGCUGAAUGGGAGAGGAGAAAGAAGGAGCGAGAAAUAGAAGAGAUGGGGGAGGGAGAGUGGGAGGGGACGUGCGGAGACAGACGAGAGACUAAGUGAUAAUCAUUCUCCAUUGUAAUCAUCCUCCAGCGUGUUUCAUAAGGCGUCGUCAAUACCUCUCCAGCUGGGGUCCAUCAUCAAACACAAUGCACAGUGCAGUGCGCGCAUGCACGGUCACUCUCUACCUGGGUGGAGAGCCCGGGCAGGCACUCUACAUCUCAUCUAUUAUCACUCAGCCCUGCCUGGUGCACAGCCUCGCUACACUGUGUCUUCUCUCAUUUGUGAUCUGCUACAUCCUGAGCUCUGUGGGGAUGAAUGGAUACUGGACUCCUAGAAAUGUGUCACGGUCACAGAUGCCACAGGAGAGUAGAUCAGAAGCUGUGCACACGAGACGUUUUACUCUGAAACUGGCACUGCCAGUGUCUUUGACACAUAAGUGCUGUAAAUGUGUGUUUUUGUGGUUCCCCAUCCAUUCACUAGCUCCCAUUAUACUAGGUUCUCUUUUAACCAAAAGCUGUGUUCUUCAUGGUUGUGUAUAAUCAACACUGUAAAAGUGGCCUACAAACUCAAAUAAAAAAUCCACAUUUGGAAGUCUGUGUUCUUUCACCUCAUUCAACUUUUACUAUAAAAUCUGUAUUCUACUCAUCACAAGUCGAGGCAUAGUAAAUUAAGCUGCUUAUUAUCGCAGUAGUGACACUUACUGACAAAAAUGUGUGGAUAUGAAACCAUUUUCUUUAUUAAUUCUCAGUUUCUUUGACAGUUCAUCUAAACCUCAACUGUAAUUCGGAGGUUGUCCCUCCAUUUAUCACCAGCUGGUGGUGCUCAGUGCUGUACAGGAUGUUGAUGUCAUGUAAGAUCUAAUCACUACUUUCCCCCAUUGAAAAAAGACUAGCAUUCAAUAAAUCAAAUCAAGGUCAAAUAACCACAUUUGAAAUCACAAAAAGAAAAAUCCAUAGAGUGUGUGCCAGAUUUUUAAAUGUUUUGCUCGAUGCUUCGAUUGGAACUCUUUGUGUAACAAAUCUCCUCAUAUCGUGCCAUCAAAAUACAGUACAUUUAGUUCAUUACACAAUAAAAUAAAAAAACAACCAACACGUACUGGUAUCAAGUCUUAUUGCUCCUUUAUUUCCAAGAUCACACUUAUCAAAUUCAUUACAUUUAAAAAAAACAGCUUGCUUUUCAACACUGUUGGCUAUUGCAUAGGAAAAUAACGCUCAAUAUUAACGCCUGAUUUCAGUAUAAGAUUACACUAUUCUGUAGAUAUGCGCUUCAUAACAAAGAUCAUUUGUACUUAUUGAAUUUUUUUUUUCUUGCACAUGUAAGC